rnacentral:misc_RNA from 1 species
GAUGAAGAACGUAGCGAAAUGCGAUAAGUAAUGUGAAUUGCAGAAUUCAGUGAAUCAUCGAAUCUUUGAACGCACAUUGCGCCCGCCAGUAUUCUGGCGGGCAUGCCUGUUCGAGCGUCAUUUCAACCAUCAAGCCCUGCUUGCGUUGGGGUCCUGCGGCUGCCCGCAGGCCCUGAAAACCAGUGGCGGGCUCGCUAGUCACACCGAGCGCAGUAAUACAUCUCGCUUUGGGCGUGCGGCGGGUUCUUGCCGUUAAACACCCCCUUUUUACCAAGGUUGACCUCGGAUCAGGUAGGAAUACCCGCUGAACUUAAGCAUAUCAAUAAGCGGACGA